UUGCUGUAAUGGCUGUUGUCGGAAGGGUCAAGACCUUGUCGCGGCUUUGGUCCAGCGCUUACAGUUUGAGGUGUCCUGUUCGAUUCCUGCGGUCGGCGUGCGGCAGCUAUGGGAAACCUGGUAUUGUCGUCGCCAGCAAUGAGCUGGGGUACCGCUGAAGGGUAGAAAUACAGCACAGCGUCCAGCCCGUGGCGAAGGCGAAGGGGACCGCAUCUCGCUGGUGUCUACGAGCGUUGGGGUUAAGCCGUUGGUUGACUUCAACUGCGACUGAUAAAAUU
rfam:Pichia membranifaciens NRRL Y-2026 unplaced genomic scaffold PICMEscaffold_2, whole genome shotgun sequence.